CGCGUGGGAAUAUGCCCUUCUCUAAGGAAUAGCCUCUGGAAACGGAGAGUAAUACCUUAUACGCCCUUUGGGGAAGAUUAUCGGAGAAGGAUAGCCGCGUUAGAUUAGGUAGUUGGUGGGGUAAGUGGCCUACCAAGCCUACGAUCUAUAGCUGGUUUGAGAGGAUGAUCAGCCACACUGGGACUGAGACACGGCCCAGACUCCUACGGGAGGCAGCAGUAGGGAAUCAUCCGCAAUGGGCGAAAGCCUGACGGUGCAACGCCGCGUGAGUGAUGAAGGUUUUCGGUAUCGUAAAGCUCU
rnacentral:rRNA from 1 species